rnacentral:tRNA from 1 species
CUGUCUUUAGUUUAAGUGGGAGAAUGAAAGCUUGUCGUGCUUUAGGUGGGUGAUUGUGUCAAGACAGU